GUUUCCGGCGAGUCCGACGGCUUUCGAGGCGUUUUCCGGCAAAACCACGGCGAGUUAGACGUCGUGUGAGGUACCAUUCUCUUCGUCUCUUCAAGGGCUAUAACUUUCGUUUUUAUCUCGCUUGAUUUCGUUGAGUAUUGUUAAAGUUAUGGCCGUUUAAAGUGGGAUGGUUUUCCGGCCGAAUCUCCGGCCUUCUCCUUCUCGGCAAAACCAGGCCCAUCCGGCCUUUCCCUUUCCCUUCCCUCGGGCCUUAAGCCCAUUAGACCCCAGCCCCUUUUCUUUUAAUUUUGUUCUUGUUCUUUUAAAACCCAAUAAGGGCUCGGGCCUUAUUUAAAAUGGCCUUGGGCCGGUUUUGGUUUAAGGGGCUUAAAGCCCUGCCCUUGUGAGGCCUUAAGGCCUUUGUGGUUUGUGUGUGUGUGUGUAUUAGGUGUGUGUGUGUGUGUGUGUGUGUGUGUUUAAGUGUGUGCGUGUGUGUAUAUGCAUGCCUUGCAUGCAUGUGCAUGUCGUGCAUGUGUGUGUGAGUUUGUGGUGUGUAUAUGUUUGGGCUUAGGCCCAAACUCUAUUUCUUUACCCUAAACCCUUUUAACCCAAAAACCUUAGAAAACCCAAAACCCAAUAUAUCAUAAUCCUAUUUAACCUAAACCCUAAUCCGAUUUUCAAGCCUAAAACCGUUAGACUUAAUUUGACCGUUGACCUCCGGUUAACGAUGACUUUAGGGUUGACUUUUCGGGUUUUCGUCCGGGACCCUUCUUAGGGUAAUUCGACGUUCUGAAUCCGUUUCCGACGUCUGUUUUCCCAAAUUCAAUUGUUAAAAAUAGAGUUUUAUUAAUUGGACCCUUUAUGUGCUUAGGGCAAUUAUUGGUGACGUUUUCUUGUUCGUUAGUUUGCGUGGCUCUUCGGCGGCUAAGUACUGUGAGUGGACCCCUUCUAAAAUGCAUGUUUUAUAGUAGAAAUGCAUACAUGAAAAGCAUGAUUUGAUGAUUACGUUUUAUGAAACGUUUUGUGAGAUAACAUGCUUAUUGAGGCUACUUUAAAUUAUUACUAUUUUUCCUAUAACCCGUGUUCUUAUAGAAUAUCUGAUGGAUGACGAUAUGAUAUUUAGAACAUGUUUCGAACACCUCUUUAUAGUAUAGAUGAUGAAUGACUUUAUACUAUGAAGUUGUUUUUCAAUAUAUGUAUGUUCAAUGGUUUUGUACUUACCUAGUGGUCAUUUCCGCUAUACGGGACGUAGGGAUAGAUUCCGGUCCGUCCCGGGCGACGGUUUGGUGUUGGCAUAGGGCCUGGAGUGUGUUUCCUCUGGCUAUUUAGCACAGGGACGGGGAGCCGGCAUGGGGCCUGAAGUGUAUUUUCCUCUGAUUGUCUGCUCAGAGACGGGGAGCCGGCAUGGGGCCUGGGGGUUAUCGGACAAUUCACUAGUGAUUAUUAUAUAUACAAGUUAUGAUUUGAGAUACUGCACAUCAUGCUAGGUUUCGGAAAACCUAUGUUUAUCAUUAUAUAUGUGUUUUCAUAAAACUUGGGGGUUAGUACGUUGAUAACUGUUUUGUUAUAUUUAUAUCAAAUUGGUCCACUCAUGUUUGUUUUGCGCCCCCUUCAGGAUUUAGGAUCGAGGCAUACAAUCCCGGCAUCCAGGCACUUCCGCAUCGGUAUCUUCGAGUCCUCUCGGUGUAGGACCCAUUUCUAUGUUCAUUCAAUUUUUAUAUUAAUUCUUUUAAUGUUCUAGAUUAGAUGUGUGCUCUGAACACGUUCCUUAAAUACAUAUUCUUUAUUCUCUUAUAUUUAUAAGUCUUAUCUAUCCCUUGUUGUCAGCAUUUGCACUCAAUAAAUGGCUUUCGUCACCCUUCGGGUGUCGGCCAGCACGUGACCAUCCCUUUGUCCCUAGGACAUCGGGAUCGGGGCGUGUCAGAUUGGUAUCAGAGCGUGCUAAGUAAGCGAGUAAGGGUGAGUGGUGACGACGGUUAGUAGGUGGUAGUUAGUGGGAGCAAAUCAAUGUUCUCGGACUCAUUACCACCGAAGAAAUUUGGGUGAAUCUUUAUAACAAUUCUCGGCGAUUGUUCUAACGAUUACCUUCUUACUUAUUCCAAUGACGAUGACAAGUUCACGAACCUUUGAUCGUUGACUUCACAUCAAAGCCUUCGAGAGUUGACUUCGUCUAGAGAUUACACUUUCUUGGGAAACUCCUCGGUAGCAGAUGCUGUUCCCAUCAAUUUCCCAAAAUGGAGUUACGAUUCUUGUUGUUGUGGUAGUUGGACUUGGAUGAUGAAGAUCUAGUCUUGUUUGGAUAAACAGAUUCUUGAAUUUCACCUGGGUCUGGUACUCGGUGGUAAAAUGGCCCUUGUUCAUGUACUUUUCGGUAGAGGUGAACUUAGCCUCUUGCUUGUAGCUCAAUUGACUAGUGCUCUUGUCCAUUAACUGUUCAGCCUUGUAAUUUUCAGUGUAAUGGCUUGAGAUUCCACCAUAUUCAUCAUUGUACGAAGAUUGAGCUUUACUCUAAACUUCUCUGGACUCAUUGAGCUUUGGUUUAGUUAGAAGCAUCACUUUAAGGUAGCCAAUCGUGUCACUGCAUGCAUACGCGGGCUGCUUCGUAUCUUUCUUCAUCGUCAUUCUGUUGAUUCAGAGGUUCUAUGUUUAAUUUUUGAACUUUGACAAAUCUCACAAAGUAUUGUGAAUUUCGAAAUGUCUUUGGCCUCGUCAAAUCUUAUAAGCAGUUGUUAACUAUUCUUUGAGCUUAGACCUGUUUCCCUUUUGGCUAAGAAACCCGUCAACCUUAUGGUGAUGAUUAGCUAAAUAAUCAUAAACAGUGACUUCUAUUUCUGCAUCUUCAUUUUCCUUCGCUUGUUUGUUUCUCAAUGUAAACGGAAUCAUGCCGGAACAAAAAAAAAAAAAAAAAAAAAAAAAAAAAAAUUUGUUCUCAGCUUGGUUUCUGGUUUAAAUCAUGAUAUCUUGUACUCAGCAUAGUUUCUGGUUUAAAUCUCGAUAUCUUGUACUCCAGUUUUAAUGGACUAUUUUGACUCUCAAAUUCUUGAGUGUUCCUUUUAGCCUUCUCGACAUGGUUUCUCGCUCAAUCAGUGAGGAAUUCACGAUCGAUCGAUUCGGCGGAAGUGUGCACCCAAUUCUUAUCGUUUUGGACAGGAAUGUUGGGAGUAUAAUAUUUUGACAAGCUUACUAGACUUACCAGAAAGAGUUCCUCGUGGGUGUGAAGUUUGAGUCGUCUUUUGGUAAGAGACCGGUGAAAGAUUGUGGUGCAUAUGAGUAGCAUAUUGCAUCACUAUCUUCACUCUAAUUGAAUGGUCACCAUUCAUUAUUUUGUUGCAAUUCAUCACCAUCAUAUCGUACUCUGGUAGAUCUUUUCGAUGAUGUGAUGUGUUCGCCUCAACGCACCGCAGCGUAGCUUUCCACUACCUCGCACCAGGAUCUUUCGGUUCGAGAGCACGUGGGCAUGAGGUUUAAGCGGUCUUUUAGUAAGAGUUGGUUGAAGGUUUUAGUACAGAAGGUCAGCAUAUUGUAUCACCAUCUUACUAGAAUUCAUGGGCAUCACAUCGGUUAUUUUCCAACGAUAUGUGUUCGUCUCAACGCAUAUUUCCACUGCUUCACUUUUGAACUUUAUUAUCGUGAGUACGCAGUUGUCGAAACACUUCUAGCAGAUCUGUUUGGUGCAUUCUGGGAUGACACUACAUCACGGUCGAGGCGAGAAUUGGAUAAUCUUUGCACUUACUUCGAAAGGUGUGUGCUCUCUUUGGUUGUUAAGAUGACCAUUUGCGAGUCGUUCUUCUUUCCACCAACUUUGACCUUGGUUGACUAGAAAUAUGCAACUAAGCAAAAAUGGAGAGGUGGAUUGAGCACUACAACAGUUCCCAAGAGAUACUGCAUGUUGAGGAAGAUGACUUCUCGUUUUCUGCUUGCUUGGUUCAAGCUUUUGGGUCUACUACUAACAUGGUAGCCACUUCUCUUGAAUCCCAAGAUACAAUUUUCAAAAGGGUUCUUUACUGGUGAAACACUGGAGUAGUUGGUCACAUUUGGAAGAACUGAGGAGGAUAGGAUGCUUAGUGCUGGAUAAAGUUUUACGACGACAGUUCUUAUUUUUGUUCGGUUUGAGUAUGGCACUUGUUGCGGCAUGGUACGAGAGUUGCUACACGCAACAUUGGUUGAUAGAGGAGAUGUGCGAGCUUGUAAUUGGAAGAUCGAAUUUUCGGCGUGUGAAAUUGUGCACCCUUAGGAAAUUAGUGCUUGCUUAUCGAGACAACAAAUGUGUGAUCGAUAUCACGGGCGGCCGACUGUUGUAUCGAUAACUUAUUCGUUGGGUUCGUUAAGCAAGUGGGCAGGAAGAUCCGUCUACGGCAAUUGUUACAGAUUAGCUAUUCUUGGGAUUCGACCCAAAGACACAUCUUUUCUCGGAGUACGUGAAGUUACGAAUUCUUGGGCGAGAUCCAUUUCCAUUUUCAGUUUUGGUUUUUAGUAUAAGUAUUUUAACUUCCUUUACUUUAGUUAUUUGUUUUUGUCAUUUCAAUUGUUUUGAGGAAAGUGUUUUCCGUUUUCAAUUUUAAGUUCAGCACGAGUUUUCGACCUAUAUGUUAUUACAUCUCUAUUUUGACGUUAUCGUAUUUUAUGUACUUACUUUUGACCUUAAGUUAUUAUGUGUUUUCGACUUAAUAUUUUUAUAAAGUAUAUUUCUACUUUUACACUGAUGGGGAUGAAAGUAAGAGCUUUGAGGCAUAAUAGAGGAUUUUGCAACCCGCUCGCGACGGUGUGGCAUAUUCUCUUUGAUGCACCGACUCUGACUUGAUUUCUCUUUAUACAUAUAUUCUUCUUACUAUUUUCGAGUACUUCAGUUUAGUAAAUGAUUUUAAAUUUCGGGGACGAAAUUUUUAUAAGGGUGGUAGAUUGAAACACCUCAACCCUUUUUAUAUUUAAAAAUUGUUUUUAAAGCCUUAAUUGGUGAGCCCGUGGGGCCCACCUUGUUUUAUUUAUUGUGUGUUUCCCGGUCUCCCUCUUCCCUAUCUCAGUUCUCUCUUCAGUCACCCGAGCUCUCUCUCCCUCGUCUCUCUCUUUCUCGUCCUCCCAUGAGCACAUACCCAUCACCACACCACCAUCUCCGACGUCAACGGCGUCGUCAUCAUCAUCAUCAGUUCGUUUUCUCUCUCUCUCAGUUGCUGCGAGGACAGCAAAAACCAGUACUCGAGCUCCGACACAAACCGACGCCUUUCGAGGCCAUUUCCGGCCAAACCACGGCGGGUUGGCCGGCGUGCAAGGUAUCAAUCUCUUCGUCUUGUCGAGUACUACAACUUUCCUUUUGGUUUCACUCAAUUUAGUUGAGUAUAUUGAAGAAGUUAUACUCAUUUGAAUCUUACCCAGUUUCCGGCGAGUCCGACGGCUUUCGAGGCGUUUUCCGGCAAAACCACGGCGAGUUAGACGUCGUUGUGAGGUACCAUUCUCUUCGUCUCUUCAAGGGCUAUAACUUUCGUUUUUAUCUCGCUUGAUUUCGUUGAGUAUUGUUAAAGUUUAUGGCCGUUUAAAGUGGGAUGGUGGUUUUCCCGGCCGAAUCUCCGGCCUUCUCCUUCUCGGCAAAACCAGGCCCAUCCGGCCUUUUCCCUUUCCCUUCCCUCGGGCCUUAAGCCCAUUAGAACCCCAGCCCCUUUUCUUUUAAUUUUGUUCUUGUUCUUUUUAAAACCCAAUAAGGGCUCGGGCCUUAUUUAAAAUGGCCUUGGGCCGGUUUUGGUUUAAGGGCUUAAAGCCCUGCCCUUUGUGAGGCCUUAAGGCCUUUGUGGUUUGUGUGUGUGUGUGUAUUAGGUGUGUGUGUGUGUGUGUGUGUGUGUGUGUUUAAGUGUGUGCGUGUGUGUAUAUGCAUGCCUUGCAUGCAUGUGCAUGUCGUGCAUGUGUGUGUGAGUUUGUGGUGUGUAUAUGUUUGGGCUUAGGCCCAAACUCUAUUUCUUUACCCUAAACCCUUUUAACCCAAAAACCUUAGAAAACCCAAAACCCAAUAUAUCCUAAUCCUAUUUAACCUAAACCCUAAUCCGAUUUUCAAGCCUAAAAACCGUUUAGACUUAAUUUGACCGUUGACCUCCGGUUAACGAUGACUUUAGGGUUGACUUUUCGGGUUUUCGUCCGGGACCCUUCUUAGGGUAAUUCGACGUUCUGAAUCCGUUUCCGACGUCUGUUUUCCCAAAUUCAAUUGUUAAAAUAGAGUUUUAUUAAUUGGACCCUUUAUGUGCUUAGGGGCAAUUAUUGGUGACGUUUUCUUGUUCGUUAGUUUGCGUGGCUCUUCGGCGGCUAAGUACUGUGAGUGGACCCCUUCUAAAAUGCAUGUUUUAUAGUAGAAAUGCAUACAUGAAAAGCAUGAUUUGAUGAUUACGUUUUAUGAAACGUUUUGUGAGAUAACAUGCUUAUUGAGGCUACUUUAAAUUAUUACUAUUUUUCCUAUAACCCGUGUUCUUAUAGAAUAUCUGAUGGAUGACGAUAUGAUAUUUAGAACAUGUUUCGAACACCUUCUUAUAGUAUAGAUGAUGAAUGACUUUAUACUAUGAAGUUGUUUUUCAAUAUAUGUAUGUUCAAUGGUUUUGUACUUACCUAGUGGUCAUUUCCGCUAUACGGGACGUAGGGAUAGAUUCCGGUCCGUCCCGGGCGACGGUUUGGUGUUGGCAUAGGGCCUGGAGUGUGUUUCCUCUGGCUAUUUAGCACAGGGACGGGGAGCCGGCAUGGGGCCUGAAGUGUAUUUUCCUCUGAUUGUCUGCUCAGAGACGGGGAGCCGGCAUGGGGCCUGGGGGGUUAUCGGACAAUUCACUAGUGAUUAUUAUAUAUACAAGUUAUGAUUUGAGAUACUGCACAUCAUGCUAGGUUUCGGAAAACCUAUGUUUAUCAUUAUAUAUGUGUUUUCAUAAAACUUGGGGGUUAGUACGUUGAUAACUGUUUUGUUAUAUUUAUAUCAAAUUGGUCCACUCAUGUUUGUUUUGCGCCCCCUUCAGGAUUUAGGAUCGAGGCAUACAAUCCCGGCAUCCAGGCACUUCCGCAUCGGUAUCUUCGAGUCCUCUCGGUGUAGGACCCAUUUCUAUGUUCAUUCAAUUUUUAUAUUAAUUCUUUUAAUGUUCUAGAUUAGAUGUGUGCUCUGAACACGUUCCUUAAAUACAUAUUCUUUAUUCUCUUAUAUUUAUAAGUCUUAUCUAUCCCUUGUUGUCAGCAUUUGCACUCAAUAAAUGGCUUUCGUCAC
rnacentral:lncRNA from 1 species